GACCUAAUGGCGAAGCUGGCAUCGCGUCCACACUUCUUAUUGGAUGGGGCCGAAAGUUGCAGUGGAGGUCCCCGGUUCGAACCCGGGUUAGGUCA